UACGGGGGGGGCAAGCGUUGUUCGGAAUUACUGGGCGUAAAGGGCGCGUAGGCGGCUCGCUAAGUCGGAUGUGAAAACUCUGGGCUCAACCCAGAGCCUGCAUUCGAAACUGACGAGCUCGAGUACUGGAGGGGAAAGCGGAAUUCCUGGUGUAGCGGUGAAAUGCGCAGAUAUCAGGAGGAACACCGGUGGCGAAGGCGGUUCUCUGGGCAUUACCUGACGCUGAGGAGCGAAAGUGUGGGGAGCGAACAGG
rnacentral:rRNA from 1 species